UAAGUUUUUCGGUCAGGGAUGGGCCCGCGGCCUAUCAGCUAGUUGGUGGGUAAUGGCCUACCAAGGCGACGACGGGUAGCCGGCCUGAGAGGGCGACCGGCCACACUGGGACUGAGACACGGCCCAGACUCCUACGGGAGGCAGCAGUGGGGAAUAUUGCGCAAUGGCGAAAGCCUGACGCAGCGACGCCGCGUGAGGGAUGAAGGCCUUCGGGUUGUAAACCUCUUUCAGCAGGGACGAAGCGAAAGUGACGGUACCUGCAGAAGAAGCACCGGCUAACUACGUG
rnacentral:rRNA from 1 species